CGGGUGAGUAAUGUCUGGGGAACUGCCUGAUGGAGGGGGAUAACUGCUGGAAACGGUAGCUAAUACCGCAUAACGUCGCAAGACCAAAGAGGGGGACCUUCGGGCCUCUUGCCAUCGGAUGUGCCCAGAUGGGAUUAGCUAGUAGGUGGGGUAACGGCUCACCUAGGCGACGAUCCCUAGCUGGUCUGAGAGGAUGACCAGCCACACUGGAACUGAGACACGGUCCAG
rnacentral:rRNA from 1 species